GAUGAAGGACGUAGCGAAAUGCGAUACUUGGUGUGAAUUGCAGAAUCCCGUGAACCAUCGAGUCUUUGAACGCAAGUUGCGCCCGAAGCCAUUAGGCCGAGGGCACGCCUGCCUGGGCGUCACACGUCGUUGCCCCCCCAUCUAAUCCUUGGGGAUUGCGGGGGGCGGAUGAUGGCCUCCCGUGCGCCUCGUCGCGCGGUUGGCAUAAAUGCCAAGUCCUCGGCGACGCACGCCACGACAAUCGGUGGUUGCGAAACCUCGGUUGCCCGUCGUGUGCGGUCGUCGCGCAUCGAGGGCUCGAAAAAAUUGCCGGGCUCCGGCUCGACUUUCAACGCGACCCCAGGUCAGGCGGGGUUACCCGCUGAAUUUAAGCAUAUCAAUAAGCGGAGGA
rnacentral:misc_RNA from 1 species